rnacentral:rRNA from 1 species
CAGCCGCCGCGGGAAUACGAAGGGGGCUAGCGUUGUUCGGAUUAACUGGGCGUAAAGGGUGCGUAGGCGGAUUCUUAAGUCAGGGGUGAAAUCCCGAGGCUCAACCUCGGAACUGCCUUUGAUACUGGGGAUCUUGAGUCCGGAAGAGGUGAGUGGAACUGCGAGUGUAGAGGUGAAAUUCGUAGAUAUUCGCAAGAACACCGGUGGCGAAGGCGGCUCACUGGUCCGGAACUGACGCUGAGGCACGAAAGCGUGGGGAGCAAACAGGAUUAGAUACCCGUGUAGUCCCUGUCUCUUAUAC